rnacentral:SRP_RNA from 1 species
GCUGGGCAUGGUGACGCACGCCUGUAAUCCUAGCUACUCAGGAGGCUGAGGCAGGGGAAUCGCUUGAACCCAGGAGUUGGAGGUUGCAGUGAGCCGAGAUCACACCACUGCACUCCAGCCUGGUUGACAGAGCAAGACUCUGUCUCAA